UAAGUCAAACUUUGUAAACUUAUAUUACCUUUACUCAUUAGUUAGAAAUAGUGUUGUUUUAUAAAAUUGUUUUUAGAAUUUAUAUGAGAUGUUGCUAAAUUAGUUGGGUUGAUUCAGUUUUAUACAUGUUUAACAACUUGAUUGCUUAUUAUUGUGUGCAUCUAGUCAUAAGGAUUUAUUGUGAUAAGCUUAUGUAUCAGAAUUGAAUUGUUAUUCACUGUAUUGUUCGGACUAUGCAUAUGUAUUAGGUGUUUUAGCUGAAUAAUGGGGAGUUUUUAUACGACCCCAAAAAUUAAAAAAAAUUAUGCAACCGCAAAAAUUAUUUUUUUUUUAAUAUAUUGGUAUCGUUUCGUCGCCAGCUUCUUUCAAAGACGGAUUGUUUAAGGAUAAUAACUUUUGAAUAAGUAAUAAGAAAUCAACACAAUGUUUAUAACCACUAAAGGAAGCUUGGGAUUGAAUUUGGGGGUUGUGGUCCCAAAGGUUUAGGAAUUAGGGGCCCCUUUAAAAACAGCAUUUAUCUAGUUUCAGAACAAAAAGUUGUGUAUUAGUAUUUCAAUUAUUCUGAAACUGUACCACAGAAGUAAAAGGUUGGGAUUUAUUUUAGGGGGUUAUUGGGCAAACAGCAUAGGAAUUAAGGGCCAAAACCUAGAAUUUUUCUAGUUUCUGGACAAUAACUUGUGUGUAGCUGUAUGGAUCUCUCUGACAGUGUACCACAAGGUUCCAUAUCACACAAGGAAGGCAGGGAUUCAGUAUAGGGUUAAUUUUUCCAAAUAUGUAGGGAAAAGGGGCCAAAAAAGGGCAAAAAAGAAGCAUUUUUCUAGUUUACAAACAAUUACUUGUGUUUAAGUGUAUGGAUCUCUAUAAUUUUUUUACCAGAAGGUUCAAUACCACUAAAGGAAGGUUGGUAUUGAUUUUUGGGGUUAAGGUAUUAAGGACCAAAAAGGAGGCCCAAAAUAAUCAUUUUUGUAGUUUUCAAACAAUAACUUAUGUUUAAGUGUAUGAAUCUCUCUGAAAUUAAACCACAAGUUUCCAUUCCUUGAAGGGAUGGUAAGUAUUGGCUAUGGGGGAUUAUGGCUUAAAAUGUUUUGGAAUUAGGGGCAAAAAAGGAGGAAAAACUAGGUAUUUUUGGUCAAUGGACAAUUAAGACAAUUUAAAAGCAGUGUAAAGGAGGUAAUUCUAAAACAUUUAACAUACAAUGUUAGGUAUGUUUGGAUUUACCUCCAUUACACUACUUGUAUAUUAUGUAUAAAAAAAUGUCAGAUUUUGGACUAAUUGCAAAAAAAGGGGGAUGGUAGAAUGGUAGUUUUCAACCAAAUUCUCAAAUUCAAAAUUUUUGAAAAAGUUAAAAGAAAAAAUCUUUAAUUGUUGCACAACAGAUUUGUAAGAUCUUGACAUUUGUUUUGUGUCAGAAACUCAUAUUAUGUCAAAAUUUUGAUCGCAAUCCAAAUUCAGAGCUGUAUCAAGCUUGAAUGUUGUGUCCAUACUUGCCCCAUCUGUUCAGUGUUCGACUUCUGCAGUCGUAUAAAGCUGUGCCCUGCAGAGCACCUAGUUCUCUGAUUACAUUCAAAAAUAUGUUUCUUUAAAACCUAGAUUCAUCACUUUUGUUUGUUUUCAAAUUUGUUCCAUGUUAUCUUGCCAGAAAACUGUUAUAGCUGCCAUUACUUAAGUAGUUAAUGGUAAUUGUCAAUAAUAUGACAACCGUAAGGAGGCUGAAAGAGAUAAGUAUGCUAAGAAUGUUGAGAUCUACCUAUUUUUACUUUCAUCAGAUUUUUCACAAUUUAUGAGUUGUCCCUCAACAUUUUUUUGUAAACUCAAAUUCUAAGGUAUGAAUACAUUUAGUACACUAAUUAAACUUUUGCACGGUCAUCUAUCAAAUAUGCAUAUGUGCAUUUGAUUUUUCUAUUAAUUAAAUUUGGAACAAACAAAAAAAAUUCUCAAACAAUUCCAAAUAUUGAUGCAUCAACAAAAACCUCUAACAGUAUAGUUAGAUGCCUUUGGAAUUUCACACCAGUCUUGUGCAUGAUAUAUAGAUGGGCAUUUUAUAUUUUUGUGUAAUUUUUGUAUUAAUUAGGGUCCCGCCAAAGGCGGUCCCCUAUGAUCAGUCUGUCCGUCCGUCCGUAACACUUUGUGUCCGCUCCAUAUCUAGAGAACCAUUAUGAUUUCAUACUUUAUACUUUACAUGUUUAUUAACCACCAC
rnacentral:lncRNA from 1 species